AAAUAUAUGGCAUAUUAUAUGUGCAAUAAACCGUUAGAUUCGUGCUUGAGACAUCUUAUGGAGGUCAAGGAACAAAGUCCCGUAAUGCUUGAGUUCAGUUAGGUUUUCAUUUAAAUUUCCCUUUUUAGUAGAACUUUUCUAGAGGUAGCUUGGAAUUUAUUCUUUGAUUUCUUUUUCCCCUGGCUGCUCAGAGUCAUCUGUGACUGCAUUUUGUUUUAAUUUGUUGUUGGCACCUGUGUUCAAGUCUUAUAUUUUACACUUCCAUUGGCAUAUUUUUGGUGAAUCCCUUCUUCACCAGGCCAAAGUUCAGUUGUUGAGGAAAUAUUAAAUUCUCAACUAAAAUUUUUGUAAUAGCCCAAAGUUGACCGGGUUUAAAUAAAGAAAAAAUUAGAUAAAUAAAUAAACAUUUAUUAAAAAAGUCCAUUGAAAGUCCAGGCCUACUGUUGCUACCCAAAGCCCAAAUACAAAAACCCAUAUCCGGGUAUAACCCAAUAGCCGGAACAAUACCUAAUACCCUUAAGCUAAACCCAAACCCAAAUAAGGCCCGUUACACCCAGCAGUCCGUCAGACUCAUUAUCCCUGCUAGCCUAAGUCAGACCUAACCCAUUACAUUACAGACCUUGACCCAAAACAAAACAGCCCAAAAGGCCCAAUAGACUUAAGAGAAACAGGGAAACCCUAGGGUUUCCGAAUACUGUGGCGCCGCAAACAUUUCUGGAAGCUUCGGGGAGUGUCUGGCAACCCCCAAAUCGAGGCCACCGUUUAAUGAGUUGUCCCAAGGGGCUUCAAUGCUCAUCAACGCCCCGAUCCUCGGUCGUCCCUUGGUCUGGCCCCAAAUUACGUUAUGAAUGUCAUGACCAUCACCAAGGCUCCAUCAGCGCCGUGAUCAGUGCACGCGUCUACACCAGCAUGGUCACUGCCAGAUCCCUCGCUCGAUUGCCUGCAAGAAAAGGAAACAAACAGCAGAUACGCGAAAAAGCAGAGUAGAAAAUGGCAAGGAAAUCACAGCACAUCAGUCAAAGAUACAAGAAAUCAGAGAUUUCUUUCCUUAUGUAACAAAUCAGUAGGCUAUAAAAAAAGCCUUUGUAACCCUUGUAACGAUUACACAGAUACAGAAAUAAAGAAACGAAUACAAAUAGUUUCAAAGGUGAUAACUGAGUGACUUGUUCUCUAUUUUUUUUAGCCCAUAUAUAUGAACUGUUUAGCAAAAUACUAAGGGUAUUUGAAAAGAAGAAGAACUACCUGUUUUGGAUCUAAAGGAAUGAGGAUUUUUAAACCCUCCGAUCUUCGUAUACAGUGGCCCUUAGGGCGGCGCGUGGGCGCGUGGACCGGCACGUGGCGUACGAAGGCCAGAACCGGAGCUCCCUUCCUCUCUCUCUUUCAGAGAGAAUUUUUUAGUUUUUUUUUUAAAAAAUCGGGGUUCAAAUGAAUCUUAAGCUGAGAAGGUAGCUUAUAUAGCUUGAACGAAACGGCGUCGUUUUGCGACCCCCAGGAUCCGCGUGUUGACCCGAUUACCUGGGGAGGAUCCGCGCAUUUUUUAAAAUUGGGUUAAUUUCCCAAUCGGUCCUUCUACCCCUUUUGUGUUUACAAUUAAACUAUUUUAUUUAUGAUUUGGCCCUAUUAUUUUAUUUUAGUUUUAAUUUGACCCUGACAGUUGUUAAAUUAUAUUCUGAGAAACGUGGCCGUUUUAAGAAUAGGGCAUUUUGCCCAGUGAGUCCCUCUAAUUUUACGCGCGUUUUAAAUAGGGCCUCAAUUCAGUUUUGUUUCUUUGAAAUUCGCCCUGUAAUUUUGCUGAAUUUUAAAUUUAGUCCUAUAUUUAUUCUAUAUAUAUAUCUAUUUUAUAUAUUGAUAUUUAUUUUUAUCCUUAUUAUUUAUAUUAUAUACUAUAAGAUUAUUUUAUUAUACAUAUAUUAUUAUUCUUCAUAUUACCUAUUAUUUUUCAAAUUAUUUUACAUCAUUAUUUUUUAUAUUAUUAUAUUUUUACUUGUAUUAUAUGUUAAUUAUUUAUACAUAUAAACUUUCAUUAUUUUAUAUUAUAUCUAUUAUAUAUCUUAUUUCCUAUAUAUUUAAAUUAUAUUUUAUAACAUUUAUUUUAUUUUAUUUUUAUUCUAUAUUUUUUAUAUAUAUGUUAUGUGUAUCAUAUAUUAUCUAUUAUAUUAUUCAUUAAGAUUUGUAAAUUAAAUUACAUUUUAAACUCAUAUUAUAUAUAUUAAAUUAUUAAUUAUGUAUUAUUUUAUUUUAAAAUGAUGUUUUGUGAUAUGUAUUAUUUUAUAAAUCCUUUUACCUACUUUUAUUUUAUAUAUAUUUUUAUAUAAUUAUUAUUCUCUUAUAAAUAUUUUGUUAUUAUAUUUUAUAUAUUAUGUAGCAAAUACUAUUUUAAAAUUAUUAUUAAAAUUUAGGUCUUUAUUUGUGUUAUGUGUAUACUUUGUUGACAAUAAUUUAUUCCAUUGUUUUUAUAUUGCAUAUAUCAUGCGUUAUUUUAUAUUUAUUAUUUGAUAUUACAUUUCAUGAGCAUAUACAAUGAUAUUAUAUUACUCUUUUGUAUGCCAUACAUUAUUUAAUUAUUGCUUUCUUAUAUAUAACGUGCAUUAUUUAAUUAUCACUUUGUAUGUUUGUAUAUCUUGUUUAUUCAUUCUCAAUACAUGCUAUAUAUAUAUCUAUGUAUGCAUAUUGUUACUAUUUGCUUUAUAUGUAUUAUUUUAUAUGUAUAUAUCUAAUGCACGAUCUUUAUAUCAUAGUAUUCAUUUUUAAAUGCACGUAUUAUUUACCUACUACAAUAAUAUGUUACUAUGUAUGAUUUAUAAUGCAAUAUAAUUCCUCACACAUCACCAUUUUUUUAAAAAAAGAGCUCCAAGGUUUUCAAAAAAAUAUAAAGGCAAUGCUUGAUGUUUGGAAAUUUCGGGAAAGUAGUGCCCUAACUUAUCGGUUUGCGACUCUUCUCGUUGAGUUCGAAUAAUCAAAUACCCUUUUAAGUUUUUAAAGGUUUUCAAAAUGUAAGUGACUGUCUUGGAAUUUCAAAGAAAUAUGACCAAACUUACUGGAUGUGGCGUUUUGUUGUUUCAAGAUAGGGAUUUUCGAAAGGCUAACUCAAUGUCAAUAUUUUACGAGUGAGUUCCAAUUUUCAAAAUCCAAAAUAUUUCAAAGAGGAUUGCGUCUUAAAAUUUCUAAUUUCCGACCUUAAAGACAUUUGAUAAUCAAUUUGGUACCAAUUUUUGGGCGUUACGAGGGUGCUAACCCUUCCUCGUACGUAACCGACUCCCGAACUCGUUCUUUUGAUUUCGUAGACCAAAACCGAUGAUUUUAAAAUAAAAUUGAUCUAAAGGUGAUCCAAUCACACCUAAAAAGCUUGGUGGCGACUCCCGUUUUCAUUUUUUUAAAGUCGAUUCCCAUUUUCUAAAACUCGAUUUGAAAAUGAUUUCGACAGCUUGGCGACUCCACUGCGGACUAAUAAGAGAGUCAAGCCGUGUAAUUGAUUAUCUCUUGUCUUAAUGUCGGAAAUUAAAAAUUUUAAAAUUUAAUUUUCUUUGCAUUACAUGUGUUUGUGUUAUUGCAUGUGUUGCUAUAUUCUAAUACGCAUUGCAUUUGCAUGACCGUUGUGGUCACACCCUUAAGUGGGAGUGAGAAGCUACGCCUUCGUGAGGUUUUCGCCUCCGUGCAGGAUAGUGGAUCACUUUUGGGAUACAUCCGUACCUAUGGUUUCGUGAGAUUUUCAUCUCCGUGUAGCCAUAGGGAAAUGUGUCCCCCUGAACUGAACUCGAUUCAAAUGAGCCUAUAAUGGGUGAGGAUCGAGGAAUCUGCUGGUUCAGGUACCUCAACUUUAGAACUAAACCACAUAUAGAAGGACCGUAAGAGCUCAACCUAGAUAGAAUUAUACCGUAAUUAUUACCCUUACAGGUUAUCUUUGAGUUUAUUGUUAUCAUGUGAUACUAACUAUCUCUUUUCUUUUGUUGCAUAUCAUUUCGCAUUUAAAAGGUAUCAAUUCGCGGUCAGUGUCUAAAUUAGAGAGUUUUAUUAUAGAGAACGGACUUCUUGAUAGAGUGGAGAGCAAUGCCAACGUCCAUAGAUGGUCUGAGCAAACUCAGUUAGAAAAGGGAGAUAGUAUAGCUGUGGGAUAUAUGUCGGAGCUGUCAGGAUAUACUCGCAUCAGUGUCACGCAGGAUAAUCUCCAAGAACUUAAGGAGAUUUGGGAUCAAUGGGGCAACGAGACUAAACAGUUAUUCUAUGGUAAUUACGUAGAUUUACCUUACUUGCUCGAUGUUCAAAUAGAUGAGCACUUGUUCCGAGCCCUCGCUCAGUUUUGGAAUCCAGCGUAUAGUUGCUUUACUUUUGGGGAGGUAGACUUGGUGCCUACCGUAGAGGAGUACACUGCCUUGUUACGUUGUCCCAGGUUCCAGGUUGAUAGAAUCUAUUCUCGAGCUGCUAAUGUCCCUACCUUUUGGAAGAAAUUGAUGACUAUUACAGGGAUGAGUGAGCAGUGGAUUACGACCAGAAUUAAAGAGAACGGUGAGUGCAAGUGCAUUUCAUGGGACGCUUUGAAGGGUCUGAUUUUGAUGCAUCCCGAUGAAACAAAGAGGGUAGAUGUUUUUGCCUUAAGUUUGUAUGGAUUGAUGGUGUUCCCUAGGGCUUUGGGAUAUGUGGAUGAGGCAACCACGGAUCUUUUCCAUAGACUCAGUAAGAGGGUCACUUCAGUCCCUGCAAUUUUGGCAGAGACAUUCAGGUCCUUAGGCACAUGUAGAAAAGCUGGUGCAGGCAGGUUUGUUGGUUGUGUACAAUUGCUUCUAGUUUGGUUCUAUAGUCAUUUUCAAUUGGUAGAUAAGGUCGUUUGUCGGGUUUUCUUCGAGGAUUACUCACCGCUGAAGGGCAUAGUCGCUUCAACUAGGAGAGUUGAUGUUCCAGAGGAGAAUUGGAUAGCACUACUUCAAAAUCUUCAGUCGAAAGAUGUUGAGUGGAGAGCUCCAUGGAUGAUUCCUGGUGAGAUUCUUUACCGUUGCGGCAGUUUCGAUUGGGUCCCUUUAUUGGGAAUUUGGGGUGCCAUUGGUUAUGCCCCCUUGCUCGUGUUAAGGCAAUUCGAUUUGAGGCAGUUCGUGCCAGCAACUCAUGGGCUAACUCAAAGUGAGUUCGCAUAUAGAGGAGCUGAUUACAAGAAAAGGGUCGGUGAGAUCUCUAGCGCUUGGAACAAGGCGUGCCGAUUGAAAGGAGUAGCUAUUGGCCCUGCUACGACUCCAGAAUAUGUUGAAUGGAGAGGUAGAAGGAUCAAUGAUAACAUUCCUGAGCCAAAUAUGGAAAGAGCUCGACCGAUGGAGGAAUAUCUGCAAGUGAUGCCCUCGGAGUUAGAAAUUAUGAAGCAAGAAUUUGAGAGGAAAAAUCUGGAGCUCGAGAAAAGGAUAGCAAAGCUUGAAGAAGAAAAAAUGUACUUGAGUUUAGAUAUUGAUGUCCAGAAGAUGGAGGUCGAAAAAAAAAGAAAGGAAGGAAAAGAGGAAGAUUGAAGAGGAUAGAGAUGACUUGAAGGAAUACUACAAAAAGGCACAGGUAUCCUUGAGAAGAGCGAAAAUAGGAGGGUCUUCAGAUCAAUUGCAGAAAGAGGUCCAAGAAGGAAAGGCAAGAGCUGAGUACUGGGAGAAGAAGUUUCAAGAGAUGCAAUCGCGAAAUUUGGCAUUAGAAGAAGAGAAUAAAGGGUUGAAGUCUAAAGUAACUGAGCUUGGAAGAUCCCUUCGAUGGCAUCGCAACCAUGAUUCUACGGUCGAGUUAAAAGAGCUAAAGAGUAAAGUUGAAGAUUUGGAAGCAGCAUUGCAGGAAAGUAAACUUCAGAUCGAGCAACUCGAGACACAAGGAGAUUAUCUAAAGGGAGAGCUUCAUCAGUCUAGAGGGCAGAUUAGAGAAAUGGAUCAUGUCAUGGAAGAAGCCAUAGCUCAGAUUCGAGAGGUUGCUGAAUAUGUGCGAGACUUGGUUGUACGAGCCGAGGUAUUGAGUAUGAUGUGUGGGUCGUCGUCAGACAUCGGAAAAGAGUUAGCCCUUUUAUUAGAUAAAGUUAAAACUUUGGGCAUUAGGGCGAAAGCAUACUUGUAAUCCAUUUAUAUGUAAAGAUAUUCUUUUUCUAAAUGAAGUUUUCUAAAUGAGAUUGAAUCGAGAUUGAUGCCUUUGUUGCAUUCAUACAUUUGCAUUACAUCAUAUCAUAUGCAUUCAAGGUUAUAGAAAGACCCUAAUUAGUUAAAGUUUCUUUAUAAAGGUAGAAAAGAAAAACUGGAAAUUACGCAUUCUUACGGCACUCGCACUAAAACUAAGAACAUGGAUCAAAGGUUUGAGCAGUUGCAAAAGGAUAUGCAAGACCAGUUGCAAGAGCAGUUGGCUAAAAUGCAGAAUGAGAUGAGGGAGCAAAUGAUGGAAGCUCAGAGGAAUAUAAUGGCCGAAAUGGCUCAGUUACUGAGGGCCACUGAUAAAGGAAAGGCUCCUAUGGCCAUCAUUGAAGAGGAAAAUGAGGGUCCUCUUCUAGGUUUUACACCGCCGCAUGUAUCAUUGCAAACCGAGGCACCUCCUAGAAGGCCAUCUACUACUGUGAGGCCUCAGCAUGGGCUAAUCGAUGCUGGUAUCCAUGUGAAUUUUUCGGUUGGUUCAGGGCUUAAUAUGGGUGACAAUCUUACUAAUCCUCUUGUUCCUGAUCUAGAUAUGGUGAAAAAGGAAUAUUUGAAGGCCGAAGCUGCAAGGUAAUUAGAUGAACGCUGUAGAUGGUUAGAAGAAAAGUUCAAGGCUUUGGAAGGCACUGGCAAUAAUCAUGGGGAUGAUGCCAAGGACUUAAGUCUAGUCCCAAACCUAGUGUUACCUCACAAAUUCAAAAUGCCAGAAUUUGAAAAAUACAAUGGUACUACUUGCCCAGAGGCCCACAUCACAAUGUUUUGUAGAAGGAUGACGGGGUAUGUAAACAAUGAUCAGCUGUUGAUCCAUUGUUUUCAAGAUAGUUUGAUAGGUGCGGCAGCCAGAUGGUACAAUCAGUUGACCGGGCUAGAAUAAGUUCAUGGAGGGAUCUUGCAUAAGCCUUCAUGCAACAGUAGAAUCAUGUAACAGACAUGACCCCUGACAGGAUUACCCUGUAAAACAUGGAGAAGAAGCCUAAUGAGAAUUUUAGGCAAUAUGCACAGAGGUGGAGAGAGGUAGCGAUAGAGGUUCAACCACCACUGUUGGAGAAGGAGACCACUAUGUUAUUCAUUAAUAUUUUGAAAGCCCUAUUUAUUACUCAUAUGAUUGGAAGCACUACUAAAAGUUUUGCGGACAUAGUUAUGGCAGGAGAGAUGAUAGAGAAUGCCAUAAGAGGGGGAAGAAUUGAAGGAGAGGGAGUCAAAAGAUCAGCCCUAAGAAGAAAAGACAAUGAGGUAAACAAUACAAGUGGUUUUAAUUCAAAAGCAGUCACAGUUAGCCAGCCCAAAGUAGCCACAGUUGGGCAACAAGUCUCUUAAAAGCAGGAAUCCAACACUAGGUAUGAGAGGAUGCAAUUUACACCUAUACCUGUGACGUAUAGGGAACUCUAUCAAAAUCUAUAUGAUGCGCAUGCUAUAGCCCCUUUCCAUUUAAAACCAUUACAGCCUCUGUAUCCUAAAUGGUAUGAUGCAAAUGCCAGAUGUGAGUAUCAUGCUGGAAUAUCGGGGCACUUAAUCGAGAAUUGUACUGGAUUCAAGAAAGCCGUAGAGAGGUUGAUCAAGAAUGGGGUUUUAAAAUUUGAGAGUACCUCAAAUACUGAGAAUCCUUUGCCAAACCAUGACAAUCAGGGAGUAAAUGCCAUUGGUGAAGCCGGUGAAAAAAGGGAAAAGGAAAAUGUUGAUGAGAUAAGGAUGCCUAUGAGGGUAAUCUGGAAGGAGAUGAUGAAGAAAGGUAUGUUGACCUUUAAAAAUACGAAAGAAAUAAUGUGGGAUUACGGUGAGUUUCGUGAAGAUUGCGAGGAAUUCAAGGCCUUGGUGCAAGGCUUCAUAGACAACAAAGAGCUACAGGUUUAUGAAGGUAGCUCUAGUGAAAAGCAAGUAUGUGUGUUGGAAAAUGAACAGCAAAGAACCAACAGACCAAGGAUCAUUAUCUCCUUGCCAGGGAAUAAUGAAAUAAGGACACCAUCAGCGCCCAAGGUUAUUAUCCAUACACCUACUCCUUUCCCUUACAAGGAUAGCAAGAAAGUACCAUGGAGUUAUGACUGUAGCGUGACGGUGCCGGGAGAAGGAAACAUAGCCAGCGCAUCUAAAGAUGUACAAGAGGAAGGUUCCCAUACGUGAAGUGGGAAGCGUUAUGAUAUGGGGGACGUCAGGGUGGAGCCCACAAAAUCUAAGAAUGCUGAAAUUGAGAAAAAGAGUGAAGUACCUGUUAACGAGCCGGUGAGAGAGGAGGAAGCUAAGGAAUUUCUAAAGUUUCUUAAGCAUAGUGAGUACAGUAUGGUCGAGUAGUUGCGUAAGCAACCAGCGCGUAUAUCGAUUUUAGCCUUACUGCUAAGCUCUGAAGUGCAUCGAGAAGCGUUGUUGAAGGUACUCAACGAGACAUAUGUCACUCAUGAUAUAUCUGUCAAUAAGUUGGACCGGUUGAUAAAUAACAUCAAUGCUGAUAAUUUCAUCUACUUCAAUGAUGAUCAAAUUCCACCUGGGGGCAUAGGGUUAACUAAGGCUUUGCACAUCACCACUCGUUGCAAAGGAUACACGUUUCCAAGUGUACUCGUUGAUAAUGGGUCCGCUUUGAACGUCCUUCCAUUAUCCACAUUCAACAGAUUACCUAUUGACAGUUCACACAUGAAGACAUGUCAUAAUGUGGUAAGAGCCUUUGACAGAACUGAAAGGAAAGUAAUGGGACGAAUUGAUAUCCCUCUGGAGAUUAGACCAAAUACGUAUGAAGUUGACUUCUUGGUAAUGGAUAUCAAGCCCUCCUAUAAUUGUUUGUUGGGGAGGCCAUGGAUACACUCGGCAGGAGCGGUGCCUUUUUUACUGCGCCAAAAAUUGAAGUUGGUGACAGAUGGACGCUUGAUAACCAUCAAUGCAGAGGAGGACAUCAUAGCAGUCGUCACUAGUAAACCUCCUUAUGUGGAGACAAAUGAGGAGGCUAUUGAGUGUUCUUUUCGUUCUUUAGAAAUUGUUAAUACUACCUUCAUUUCGGAGGGAAGCGAGGUGCUGGUUCCCAGGAUGUCUAGAGCAACAAGGAUGGCCCUACAAAUAAUGAUGGGGAAAGGAGCAUUGCCAGGAAAAGGACUAGGAAAAUAGUUGCAAUGAGGGAUUCAAGUCCCAAAAUUGAUGGAGAAGAAGGAUCGCUUUGGUUUGGGUUUUAAGCCAGACCAUAAACAAAAGAGACAAGAGAUGAAAAAGCGUCAAGUAAGAAGGAAGGCGCAUUUGAACGGAGGAGAAGUAGAGUGGGAACUGAUGACAUUCCCACCUAUAUCCAAAACCUUUAAGUCAGGAGGGUUGCUAGUAAAAGAGAGUCAUCAAAUCAAUAUUGUACAUAAUGAGUGGUUUGGACAGGAAAACCUUGAGGGUAUUCACCCUUACGAACCGGGGAGCUCUCUGAACAAUUGGACUGCGGAGGAUCUUCCUGUAGUCUUUAGAAAUUUUUCAGAGUAAUUCUCGAAACAUGUUUAUUACUCUAGGGCCUAGGAGUAGUAAGAUUACAUUUUGUGAAAAUAGGCCUAUGUUCAUAUAUUAUUAUUCAAAUAAAACAUAACUUUUACCAAUUUAAAAGAGUAUUGUCUCAUUUUUAUCAACCAAUAUUUCUUUAAAUUCUAACAAUUCUUAUUCUUUUAUUCAUAGCACAUAAACGAUCAUUCUCAAAUUCAUUCAUUCUUUAUAUAUUCUUUCAUACCCCUUACAGGUCUCUAGAUAUCAAUGAUAUGAGCGCUAAUACUGCCGUUCCUGAUUUCUCUUGUGAGCAAGACAUGUGUUUAGAGGAGCCUUAGGAUUUUGAAGAUGUUCAAGAUUGUGACGUAUCUCUCGAUCUAUUAAGAAUGGUAAAACAGGAGGAGAAACAAAUCAUGCCACAUGAAAAAGAGGCAAUAGAUAAUAUAGCCCUAGAGGAAGGGAAGGAGGUCAAAAUUGGAACACUGAUCGCUAAUGACACAAGGCGUAGCUUGAUUGAGUUGCUUCAGGAAUUCAAGGAUAUCUUUGCAUGGUCUUAUCAGGAUAUGCCCGGAUUGAGUACUGAUAUUGUAGUACAUCGUCUUCCGAUAAGACAAGAAUGUAGACCGGUCCAACAGAAGUUGCGAAGGAUGCGGCCAAACAUUGUCCUGAAAAUAAAAGAUGAGGUUAAGAAGCAGUUUGAUGCAGGAUUUCUGCAGGAAGUGAAGUACUCUGAAUGGGUAGCUAAUAUUGUACCUGUUCCUAAGAAAGACGGGAAGGUACGAAUGUGCGUUGAUUACAGAGAUCUAAACAAAGCAAGCCCAAAGGAUAAUUUUCCUCUACCACAUAUCGACACUUUAGUAGACAACACAGCGGGAUAUUCGUUGUUCUCCUUCAUGGACGGCUUCUCAGGAUACAAUCAGAUAAAGAUGCAUCCAGAUGAUAUGGAUAAAACUACUUUCAUAACAUUAUGGGGCACCUUUUGUUAUAAAGUAAUGCCGUUUGGGUUGAAGAACGCAGGGGCAACAUACCAACGAGCCAUGGUAAACUUGUUUCACGACAUGAUGCAUAAGGAUAUUGAGGUAUACGUUGAUGAUAUGAUCGCCAAGUCGCGAACAGAAAAAGAACACAUUGAGGUCUUGAGAGGAUUGUUCUUAAGAUUGAGAAAAUUUCAGUUGAAGCUCAAUCCAGCAAAGUGCACCUUUGAAGCCAGAUCGGGGAAGUUAUUAGGCUUCGUAGUCAGUAAAAAGGGAAUUGAAGUUGACUCAGACAAGGUCAGAGCCAUACGGGAGUUGCCUCCACCACGUACUCAAAAAGAAGUUCGAGGAUUCCUAGGAAGGUUGAAUUACAUUGCUCGGUUCAUUUUACAAUUGACCAAGAAAUGUGAUCCUAUCUUUCGUCUCCUCAGAAAGCACAAUCAAGGUGCUUGGGAUGAAGAAUGCCAGAAUGCUUUUGAGAAAAUCAAGCAGUAUUUGUUGAAUGCUCCAAUGUUAUCUCCGCCUAGUCUAGAUAAACCGUUAAUACUAUACUUGUCAGUGUUUAGCAAUUCUAUGGGAUGUGUGCUUGGUCAGCAUGACGAGUCAGGGAAAAAGGAAAAGGCAAUUUAUUAUCUCAGUAAGAAAUUUACUGAUUGUGAAAUGAGAUAUUCACUAAUCGAAAAGUUGUGCUGUGCGUUGAUUUGGACCACACGGAGAUUAAGACAAUACAUGCUAUACCAUACAACUUGGCUCAUCUCAAAAUUAGAUCCAUUAAAAUACAUGAUGGAAUCAACGGCUCUAAAUGGAAGAAUGGCGAGAUGGCAAAUUUUGCUUUCAGAGUUUGAUAUAGUUUAUGUAAGUCAGAAGGCUAUCAAAGGAAGUGCGGUGGCAGACUUCUUGGCCAGUAGAGCUUUAGAGGAUUACGAGCCAUUGAAUUUUGAUUUUCCAAAUGAGGAGCUAAUGUGUAUAGCAGCAACUGAAGAUUCUCCAUGGAAGCUAAAUUUUGAUGGGGCUUCUAAUGCAGUCAGAAAUGGAAUUGGGGCAGUCUUGGUAUCCCCGAAUGGCGACCAUUACCUGUUCAUGUGCAAGUUGGAUUUUGACUGUACAAAUAAUAUGGCUGAAUACGAAGCAUGCAUCAUGGGGCUCCAAGCGGCCAUAGAAAGAGGCAUAAAAACCCUAGAAGUAUAUGGAGAUUCUGCGUUAGUAAUCUAUCAGUUAAGAGGUGAAUGGGAGACAAGAGACCCUAAGUUGAUCAAUUAUCGAAUGGUAGUUUUAGGGUUACUAAGAGAGUUCGAUGACAUCACCUUCAACUAUCUCCCACGAGAUGAGAAUCAGAUGGCAGAUGCUUUAGCAACCUUGGCUUCACUGAUUAAGGCAAACAAAGAGGAAGAGAUGAGACCAAUUCAAAUGAGUGUCUAUGAAUUUUCAGCUAGCUGUUGUAACCUUGAAGAGGAAGAAAAGGAUGACAAUCCUUAGUAUCAGGAUAUAUUGCGAUAUGUAAGAGAUCGUAAAUAUCCAGCACAGGCAUCCGAAAAUGACAAACGAACCCUGAGAAGAUUAGCUUGUGACUAUGUUUUGGACGGGGAUGUUCUGUAUAAGAGAAGGAAAUACCAAGUACUUUUGAGAUGUGUCAAUGCUGUGGAAGCCAAGCUAAUUCUAGAAGAGGUCCAUGAAGGUGCAUGUGGUACGCAUGCAAAUGGGUUCACGAUGGCAAGACAAAUCAUGAGGUUUGGCUAUUACUGGGCCACUAUGGAAGGAGACUGUAUCAAUUAUGCCAAAAAAUGCCAUAAGUGUCAGAUUUAUGGGGACAAAAUUCAUGUACCACCCUCACCUUUACAUGUCAUGACGUCUCCAUGGCCAUUUUCCAUGUAGGGCAUGGAUAUCAUCAGACCAAUAUCGCCGAAAGCUUCGAAUGGACAUCGGUUUAUUUUCGUAGUUAUUGACUACUUUACAAAAUGGGUAGAGGUUGCUUCUUACGCAAAUGUUACUAAGUCAGCUAUAAGUCGAUUUUUGAAGAAGGAAAUCAUUUGUCGGUAUGGAGUGCCUGAGAGGAUCAUAUCCGACAAUGUAUUGAAUUUGAACAACAAAACGAUAGCAGAGGUUUCGACCAGUUCAAAAUCAAGCAUCACAACUCUUCACCCUAUCGUCCAAAGAUGAAUGGGGCAGUGGAGGCUGCCAAUAAAAACAUUAAGAAAAUAGUGGGAAAGAUGACUGAGACUUAUAGAGAUUGGCAUGAAAAGCUACCGUUUUCACUCUUGGCUUAUCGAACAUCUGUUAGAACUUCUACUGGGGCAACUCCGUUCUCGUUAGUUUACUGGAUGGAAGCAGUUUUACCUAUUGAAGUGGAAAUACCCUCUCUCCGAAUUUUAACAGAGAUAAGGUUAGAUGAAGCUGAAUGGGUUCAGUCUCGAUAUGACCAGCUAAACUUGAUUGAGGAAAAGAGGCUGAAGGCUAUCCAACAUAGUCAGAUGUACCAGAAGCGUAUGAUACGAGCUUAUGAUAAAAAAGUUCGUCCAAGGGAAUUCCAUGAGGGGGACCUUGUGCUAAAGAAAAUCAUUCCCAUUCAAAAGGACUUUAGAGGAAAGUGGAUGCCAAAUUGGGAGGGGCCAUACGUCGUGAAGAAGGCUUUUUCUGGUGGUGCAUUGAUUUUGACAGAAAUGGAUGGAAAAAGCCUACCCAAUCCGGUGAACUCAGACUCAGUUAAAAAUACUUUGUCUAAAAGCGAAAAGAAUCCAAGGUGAAAACCUGCAAAAGGGCGCCUUGAAUUUUGAAAAAAAAAUGGAUAGGCCAAUGUGAAAACCCACAAAGGGCACCUUGUGACUAAAGGGAUUUUGAGUUGAAAACCUGAAAGGGCAGCUCAAAUUUUGAAGGGCAUACAGCAAACUUGCUAUAUUUGACUUGACAGAGAGUGAGGCACAGUGUACAUUGGGGCAUCAACAAAGUACUUUGGAUCUUUUAAACACAUGUCGAACUCAAGAAAGGCUUCGGGGAACUAAUGUAUAGAUGCUCAAGCGGCGAUAUUUAUCCUGUUUGCUGUCUUUAGAUUCUAUUUCUUCUUAAAGAUAUGCUAUCAAACUUAUUUCCUUUGUACUGUUAACAAUUCGAAUCCAAUUAUUCUCAAAGAUUUACUCAUCUCCCGAUAUUUUUUAAGUAUGUUGCAUUGAAAUAAUGAUAGAUGAGCUAAAAUAUUUUCACAAAAGAAGUUUUACACAUCACUUUGGAAUUUCUAGAUAAUACAAGAAACUAAAACAGGACAAUUGUUCGAGAAAUUCACGUAAGUAAGGAAUGAAGGAACUCGAGAGAUUUCUUUCUUCCAGUUCAAAAAGAAAUGGAUGAUUCAAUUCUUACAGACAUCCUCAAUAGAUCAUAGCAUUGGAGGAAGGCCUACAAGCUGAGUAAGAAUAAAGUUUUGAGAAAGAGAAAUGAAGGAAUGAAUAAUGACACCUGAGAUAGGGGUUAUAUUCACAGCACUUUGCAUCAUAACAUGUUAAGGGCAUUUGACUCAUUUCAAUCAUAGCAUACUUAGGCAUAGGCACAUACUCAUCCUACAGGUCAUGAAGAUCAAAGAUUUCAACAUGGUAGCCUAUGCUUAUAGGAAAUAAAUUGAAGACAACAGAUCUAAACUUCAGACAUUUAUGUUGAAGCAGAUCCAAGAUGAUUUGGUAUUCUUGUGUUUACAAGAAACAAGUCGAGGACAUAGCAGAUUUGACUCUCAGACGUUCUCAAAGAUAGCAGAUCUAACCUUCAGAUGUUUAUACUGAAGCAGAUCCAAGAUGAUUUGGUAUUUUUGUGUUUACAAGAAACAAAUCGAGGACAUGGCAGAUUUGACUCUCAGAUGUUCUCAAAUAUAGCAGAUCUAACCUUCAGAUGUUUAUACUGAAGCAGAUCCAAGAUGAUUUGGUAUUCUUAUGUUUACAAGAAACAAAUCGAGGACAUAGCAGAUUUGACUCUCAGGCGUUCUCAAAUAUAGCAGAUCUAACUUUCAGAUGUUUAUACUGAAGCAGAUCCAAGAUGAUUUGGUAUUUUUGUGUUUACAAGAAACAAAUCGAGGACAUAGCAGAUUUGACUCUCAGACGUUCUCAAAUAUAGCAGAUCUAACCUUCAGAUGUUUAUACUGAAGCAGAUCCAAGAUGAUUUGGUAUUCUUGUGUUUACAAGGAACAAAUCGAGGACAUUGCAGAUAUGACUCUCAAAUGUUCUGAAACAGACUCAAGAUGAUUAGACAUCCUUGCAAAUUGAAGAAGUAGAAUCAGUGUCUCUAUGUUCGGCGGAAAGCAGAUUGAAGAUCAUAGAAUCGAUCAAAUUUGGGUCUUUCUAUGAAUCUUUGCUUGAUUCCUGUUACACAGCAAUAAACAAAGAGGGGCAGCUGUAAUAGCCCAAAUUUGACCGGGUUUAAAUAAAGAAAAAAUUAGAUAAAUAAAUAAACAUUUAUUAAAAAAGUCCAUUGAAAGUCCAGGCCUACUGUUGCUACCCAAAGCCCAAAUACAAAAACCCAUAUCCGGGUAUAACCCAAUAGCCAGAACAAUACCUAAUACCCCUAAGCUAAACCCAAACCCAAAUAAGACCCGUUACACCCAGCAGCCCGUCAGACUCAUUAUCCCUGCUAGCCUAAGUCAGACCUAACCCAUUACAUUAUAGACCUUGACCCAAAACAAAACAGCCCAAAAGGCCCAACAGACUUUAGAGAAACAGGGAAACCUUAGGGUUCUUGAAUACUGUGGUGCCGCAAACAUUUCUGGAAGCUUCGGGGAGUGUCUGGCAACCCCCAAAUUGAGGCCACCGUUUAAUGAGUUGUCCCAAGGGGCUUCAAUGCUCAUCAACGCCCCGAUCAUCGGUCGUCCCUUGGUCUGGCCCCAAAUUACGUCAUGAAUGUCAUGACCAUCACCAAGGCUCCAUCAGCGCCGUGAUCAGUGUACGCGUCUACACCAGCAUGGUCACUACUGGAUCCCUCGCUCGAUUGCCUGCAAGAAAAGGAAACAAACAGCAGAUACGCAAAAAAGCAGAGUAGAAAAUGGCAAGGAAAUCACAGCAGAUCAGUCAGAGAUACAAGAAAUCAGAGAUUUCUUUCCUUAUGUAACAAAUCAGUAGGCUAUAAAAAAAGCCUUUGUAACCCUUGUAACGAUUACACAGAUACAGAAAUAAAGAAACGAAUACAAACAGUUUCAAAGGUGAUAAUCGAGUGACUUGUUCUCUAUUUUUUUUAGCCCAUAUAUAUGAACUGUUUAGCAAAAUACUAAGGGUAUUUGAAAAGGAGAAGAACUACCUGUUUUGGAUCUGAAGAAACGAGGAUUUUUAAACCCUCCGAUCUUCGUAUACAGUGGCCCUUAGGGCGGCGCGUGGGC
rnacentral:lncRNA from 1 species